AACGCGUGGAUCCUUCCCCGGGUAGGGUCACUGCGUGGGUCGCAAGCCUCUAAACGGCGUCGUUUUAAAGCCACUUAAGCAGGCUCAAAAUGGCGUCGUUUCUUUGGUUACGAAAACUAACUAAACCCUAAAUCAUUAGCCUCCUACCCACUUUAAACAGAUCCAAAAAUUGAAUCUUUCCCCUCUGCCACCUCUGAAUGUGAAACCCCCUCCGGCUCCGAUUUG
rnacentral:lncRNA from 1 species